rnacentral:lncRNA from 1 species
CGGGGUUGUAACCAAGCUUUCUGGGUGGUUCUGGUGCCUGUGAAAGUUUGAGAAUCACCAUGCUAAGGUGAGAUGCUACUGCAAUUUGGAUUCUCCUUGGCAAAGACUUGGAAUCCUCCCCCAGCUUGAGGUUCUGGCUAAGAUUCUUGGAAGAAGGAUUCUAGGUUUCAGCUUCUUUGCUCAGAGCAAAAUUGCAGAAUUGAAGAAAGCAAAGUUCAGCUGCAUAUAAAAGGAAAUGGAGGGAGUACAGAACUGCACAUCCACUGCAAAGAGGAUGGCAAGGAUGUCCUGGCUGUGGAUUGCUGGGAACACACCUCAGAGACGUGUUCAGCAGAGAUCUGUGGAGAAGAGCUACAGCCAAAGGCCGGAGGAGAAUUCUACGUGUACCUGCCUAGAAUGAUUGCUGGGUAGAGGUGUGAUCUUUUCAACUUCCCCUUCCAAAGCAUUCACUCUAAUAAAAAUACUGAGAUGAAAUAAUGAUC